CUUGUCUCACAUCUCAGCCAGGGAUCAUAUUCCUAAGCUUUGAUACCAACUGUGACGCCCCCAAAAUAGGUAUACAUCACCUAUUUUGAGUCGCCAAAUACAUGGUACAUAAUACAAAUACAACCUUAAAUAUACAACAUGAGCUGUGAGUUUUAAUACAAAUAUUGUCUUCUAGACAGUAUUCAAACUCAAAAUAAGUCCUCAAUACAUUUAUUAUCACACUAUUUCAUAGAAUAGUGAGGACUACUAAUGCUAUUAUCUGGACCGUCACUCUGUUCCCCGACUAGUCCCUGCUACGUUCUCAUUUCCUGAAGAGAACAAUGAAAGCAAAAGGGUGAGCUCAACUAGCCCAGUAAGAAAUAUUAUGACUAAGAUAAUGCAGAAUAAAUUAUCAUUAGCCUCUCAACAGUGUAAACUGAUAAAAUAUAACAAACAUCAAGUUUAACUGCAGCGGAACAAGCAAUCCAUUAGAGUAGUCAAGUAGAGAAUAAAAUCUACUAUCUUCUAUGAUUUAAAAGGUUUUUCAUUACUUUUAUCGCUGAGACUCAGCUUAAUAAAUAAUCCACAUCAUCCCAGCACUACGGCCAAGGAUAUUCAUUAGUAUCACGACCAUAAAUUAUCCAUGCACUACGGGCCAAUGAUAUUCGUGUAUUCAUCAAUGGUCAUGAUCAUGCCAAGAACUGUCCAUCAAUGCACUACGACCAAUGAGGAUUUUUACCACAUCAUUUGUAACAUUACGGUCAUGAUUAUACCGAAUAAUCCCUAAUCAUAAUCAUACCAAGUCCAUCUAUACACUACAAGCCACAUAUAACUUUCAACAUAUUAUAAACAUGAGGAUGAUGACAAUUCAAUAAAACAAGUUCAAGAAUAAAUUUUAAAGAUUUAUAAGUUAAUAUAUCCUGAACUCAAUAACGUCCAAAUUGUCAACAUGAUACUGUUUUGUGGAGUAAAAUUCAAGAAUGCUCAGAAGAAUAUUUCCAUGAAAAGAUACUGGAUGAAGCGCAAAUAUCAAGGAUAUUCCACUAAUUUCAUGGAGUAUGGAAGCCAAAACUUUAACCAAGUGAGUAUAAUAGAAUAUAUAAAACCGCAAAUGGAUUUUUUUCGCCAUGCGGUAAUCCACGUAGACAGAUUAUUCUAACAGAGUAAUUUGAACAAGGUCAUGCGUACGUAAUCCGCACAGACAUGAUAUUCCAACAGAAUAAUAAAGAAUGGAAUCAGGUCAUGCGUAAUCUGCACAGACAGGAUGUUCCAACAGGAUAAUAAAGAAUGGAAUAACAACAGAAUUCACCAGGCAUGCGAUAGACCUUACAGACA
rnacentral:lncRNA from 1 species